rnacentral:rRNA from 1 species
AAAAAGAAAGAAAAAGAAAGAAAAGAAAGAAAAGAAAAAGAAAAGAAAAAAGAAAAAAAGAAAAGAAAGAAAAAAGAAAGAAAGAAAAAAAGAAAGAAAGAAAAAAAGAAAGAGAAAAAAAAAGAAGAAGAGAAAAAAAGAAGAAGAGAAAAACCCUACCAAGAAGACUCUUAGAACAAGUGGGACUGUAACAAGAUUUGGAGAAAUUACAACUGGAGAAUAACAUGAUGUUAAUUCAACAAGAACUCCAGCUGGAAGAGAGGGCGCUGCUUUUGAUUGGUCGUUUCCCCAUAUUGAAUAAAUAACAUCAGGACUGUCAUAAAACACCAUUUCAUUUGGGACUUUUGGAAAAAAAACUCUUGAUUCUAACAUGGAUUGGGCAAUAAGAAUGGCGCUAUCUGGAACAACAUUACAUGCAUUUGAAAUCCAAUCUGCUGCAACAUUUCCACGAAAACAAUCUUCAAAAGGUUCACCAUUGGGUCCUUUGAAAUCACUUAAAGGAAUAGAUUGCAAAAAAGCUUUUGCAAGUUCUGAUAAUAAUCCAACAUUUAUUAAGGAAUUUGAAUCAACAUGACCGGUGCGUUCAAGU